AACGAGCGCUGGCGGCAUGCCUAACACAUGCAAGUCGAACGAAGUCUUCGGACUUAGUGGCGCACGGGUGCGUAACGCGUGGGAAUCUGCCCUUGGGUGCGGAAUAACUUCUCGAAAGGGAUGCUAAUACCGCAUAAUGUCGUAAGACCAAAGAUUUAUCGCCCAAGGAUGAGCCCGCGUAAGAUUAGCUAGUUGGUGGGGUAAAAGCCUACCAAGGCGACGAUCUUUAGCUGGUCUGAGAGGAUGAUCAGCCACACUGGGACUGAGACACGGCCCAGACUCCUACGGGAGGCAGCAGUGGGGAAUAUUGGACAAUGGGCGAAAGCCCUGAUCCAGCAAUGCCGCGUGAGUGAUGAAGGCCCUAGGGUUGUAAAGCUCUUUACCAGGGAUGAUAAUGACAGUACCUGGAGAAUAAGCUCCGGCUAACUCCGUGCCAGCAGCCGCGGUAAU
rnacentral:rRNA from 1 species